GUGUCAGCAGCCGCGGUAAAACGGGGGGGGCAAGCGUUGUUCGGAAUUACUGGGCGUAAAGGGUCCGUAGGUGGCCCGCUAAGUCACCCGUGAAAUCCCUCAGCUUGACUGGGGAACUGCGUGUGAGACUGGCAGGCUUGAGUGCAGGAGAGGAACGCGGAAUUCCAGGUGUAGCGGUGAAAUGCGUAGAUAUCUGGAGGAACACCGGUGGCGAAGGCGGCGUUCUGGACUGCAUCUGACACUGAUGGACGAAAGCCAGGGGAGCAAACGGGAUUAGAUACCCGAGUAGUCC
rnacentral:rRNA from 1 species